AGUUUCAAGAAGCUGCGGGACAGUUCAAGAAUGUAUACGUAAGGAUAUUAUAGCAAGAAAUUUGAUAAAACAUCAGAUGCUUCGCUUACACCUCCAAAAGUUAGGACUCCAAAGGGAAGAGAAUCUACAAACCAGAAGAACGUUAGUGAAACCAAAACCAGUCACACAGAAGCCGUUUGUUAUAACUAAACUAGCAGGAGCAACCCCUCAUCAAAUGCCACAAGGAAAAUGAACUGAUACCUAGUGUGCCUGUUUUGUGAUGAUAUAAUAAAUACGUAGUGGUAUAGGA